UCCGUGUUCGUCUAAUGGUAAGACCGCCGGCUCUGAACCGGCCAAUUGGGGUUCGAAUCCUUGACACGGAACAA
rnacentral:tRNA from 1 species